GUUACAGCUUCAGGGUGCAGAGUCGCAGCCCCUCGGCGUUGCCGGGGCAACUGGUCAGGUAAGGGCUGAAGUAGGGGAAGAGACGCUCGCUGAAGGUGUCCCUGAAGGUGUACAGGAAUUCAAUGUCAUCGCCCUGGGCCUGUUGACUGAUCAGCUUAGCCAGCCGAGCACCCAGCGAAGACAGCCCCUCUUGGACUUUCUGCAGGUUCUCUCGGAUCAGGGUCAGAACGGAUCUCUCGUGCUCCACCAAGUCCCGGGUCAAAGCAGCUUCUUGCUCGCAGAGGAAACCAUGCAUUUGAGCAAACUGCUCCUUAAUGUGCUGUCGCAGCGACUCAGCAUUUUUCUACAAAAGGAAACGUCAAGCACAUUGAAGAAAGAUGUGAAGAAAUAGGCUGCACUGUAUAAAACACGUAUGAAAUAAACAAAAUCUCCAAGGGGGUGGGUGAGAAACAUUAGAAAGCA